rnacentral:rRNA from 1 species
GGGUUGUGAGGUUAAGCGACUAAGCGUACACGGUGGAUGCCCUGGCAGUCAGAGGCGAUGAAGGACGUGCUAAUCUGCGAUAAGCGUCGGUAAGGUGAUAUGAACCGUUAUAACCGGCGAUUUCCGAAUGGGGAAACCCAGUGUGUUUCGACACACUAUCAUUAACUGAAUCCAUAGGUUAAUGAGGCGAACCGGGGGAACUGAAACAUCUAAGUACCCCGAGGAAAAGAAAUCAACCGAGAUUCCCCCAGUAGCGGCGAGCGAACGGGGAGCAGCCCAGAGCCUGAAUCAGUGUGUGUGUUAGUGGAAGCGUCUGGAAAGGCGCGCGAUACAGGGUGACAGCCCCGUACACAAAAAUGCACAUGCUGUGAGCUCGAUGAGUAGGGCGGGACACGUGGUAUCCUGUCUGAAUAUGGGGGGACCAUCCUCCAAGGCUAAAUACUCCUGACUGACCGAUAGUGAACCAGUACCGUGAGGGAAAGGCGAAAAGAACCCCGGCGAGGGGAGUGAAAAAGAACCUGAAACCGUGUACGUACAAGCAGUGGGAGCACGCUUAGGCGUGUGACUGCGUACCUUUUGUAUAAUGGGUCAGCGACUUAUAUUCUGUAGCAAGGUUAACCGAAUAGGGGAGCCGAAGGGAAACCGAGUCUUAACUGGGCGUUAAGUUGCAGGGUAUAGACCCGAAACCCGGUGAUCUAGCCAUGGGCAGGUUGAAGGUUGGGUAACACUAACUGGAGGACCGAACCGACUAAUGUUGAAAAAUUAGCGGAUGACUUGUGGCUGGGGGUGAAAGGCCAAUCAAACCGGGAGAUAGCUGGUUCUCCCCGAAAGCUAUUUAGGUAGCGCCUCGUGAAUUCAUCUCCGGGGGUAGAGCACUGUUUCGGCAAGGGGGUCAUCCCGACUUACCAACCCGAUGCAAACUGCGAAUACCGGAGAAUGUUAUCACGGGAGACACACGGCGGGUGCUAACGUCCGUCGUGAAGAGGGAAACAACCCAGACCGCCAGCUAAGGUCCCAAAGUCAUGGUUAAGUGGGAAACGAUGUGGGAAGGCCCAGACAGCCAGGAUGUUGGCUUAGAAGCAGCCAUCAUUUAAAGAAAGCGUAAUAGCUCACUGGUCGAGUCGGCCUGCGCGGAAGAUGUAACGGGGCUAAACCAUGCACCGAAGCUGCGGCAGCGACGCUUAUGCGUUGUUGGGUAGGGGAGCGUUCUGUAAGCCUGUGAAGGUGUGCUGUGAGGCAUGCUGGAGGUAUCAGAAGUGCGAAUGCUGACAUAAGUAACGAUAAAGCGGGUGAAAAGCCCGCUCGCCGGAAGACCAAGGGUUCCUGUCCAACGUUAAUCGGGGCAGGGUGAGUCGACCCCUAAGGCGAGGCCGAAAGGCGUAGUCGAUGGGAAACAGGUUAAUAUUCCUGUACUUGGUGUUACUGCGAAGGGGGGACGGAGAAGGCUAUGUUGGCCGGGCGACGGUUGUCCCGGUUUAAGCGUGUAGGCUGGUUUUCCAGGCAAAUCCGGAAAAUCAAGGCUGAGGCGUGAUGACGAGGCACUACGGUGCUGAAGCAACAAAUGCCCUGCUUCCAGGAAAAGCCUCUAAGCAUCAGGUAACAUCAAAUCGUACCCCAAACCGACACAGGUGGUCAGGUAGAGAAUACCAAGGCGCUUGAGAGAACUCGGGUGAAGGAACUAGGCAAAAUGGUGCCGUAACUUCGGGAGAAGGCACGCUGAUAUGUAGGUGAAGCGACUUGCUCGUGGAGCUGAAAUCAGUCGAAGAUACCAGCUGGCUGCAACUGUUUAUUAAAAACACAGCACUGUGCAAACACGAAAGUGGACGUAUACGGUGUGACGCCUGCCCGGUGCCGGAAGGUUAAUUGAUGGGGUCAGCGCAAGCGAAGCUCUUGAUCGAAGCCCCGGUAAACGGCGGCCGUAACUAUAACGGUCCUAAGGUAGCGAAAUUCCUUGUCGGGUAAGUUCCGACCUGCACGAAUGGCGUAAUGAUGGCCAGGCUGUCUCCACCCGAGACUCAGUGAAAUUGAACUCGCUGUGAAGAUGCAGUGUACCCGCGGCAAGACGGAAAGACCCCGUGAACCUUUACUAUAGCUUGACACUGAACAUUGAGCCUUGAUGUGUAGGAUAGGUGGGAGGCUUUGAAGUGUGGACGCCAGUCUGCAUGGAGCCGACCUUGAAAUACCACCCUUUAAUGUUUGAUGUUCUAACGUUGACCCGUAAUCCGGGUUGCGGACAGUGUCUGGUGGGUAGUUUGACUGGGGCGGUCUCCUCCUAAAGAGUAACGGAGGAGCACGAAGGUUGGCUAAUCCUGGUCGGACAUCAGGAGGUUAGUGCAAUGGCAUAAGCCAGCUUGACUGCGAGCGUGACGGCGCGAGCAGGUGCGAAAGCAGGUCAUAGUGAUCCGGUGGUUCUGAAUGGAAGGGCCAUCGCUCAACGGAUAAAAGGUACUCCGGGGAUAACAGGCUGAUACCGCCCAAGAGUUCAUAUCGACGGCGGUGUUUGGCACCUCGAUGUCGGCUCAUCACAUCCUGGGGCUGAAGUAGGUCCCAAGGGUAUGGCUGUUCGCCAUUUAAAGUGGUACGCGAGCUGGGUUUAGAACGUCGUGAGACAGUUCGGUCCCUAUCUGCCGUGGGCGCUGGAGAACUGAGGGGGGCUGCUCCUAGUACGAGAGGACCGGAGUGGACGCAUCACUGGUGUUCGGGUUGUCAUGCCAAUGGCACUGCCCGGUAGCUAAAUGCGGAAGAGAUAAGUGCUGAAAGCAUCUAAGCACGAAACUUGCCCCGAGAUGAGUUCUCCCUGACUCCUUGAGAGUCCUGAAGGAACGUUGAAGACGACGACGUUGAUAGGCCGGGUGUGUAAGCGCAGCGAUGCGUUGAGCUAACCGGUACUAAUGAACCGUGAGGCUUAACCUUACAACGCCGAAGGUGUUU